GGAGGGCGCGCCGGGAGCGGGACGCGAGGCUACACCAAGAACGUUUGCACACCGGACGGCAAGCAUUUGUAGAAGUGCCACGUCCCGAAGCGGAAUAAGCAACUCGAAGCAGCACGUCUACUCAACACACAAUAGUUGGGUAGGGAAAACUAAUUCUUGAAGGCACUUGGGCCACUGGUCGUCCGCCAGGGCAGCUGGGCAAGCCUGGGGCCUCCACCUGCGCAAGGCCGGUGACCGCAAAGACUCCGAGGUCAAGUGCCACUGCCGCCCUCCUCAGCUGUGAGGCCAGGAGGUCUCUCCGGACCUCUGCCUGUUUUCUCCUGUUAAAAUGGGGGAGAAAAGUCAAAUGUGGGGACAGAGGCUAGCGCAGCGCUCCAUGAUGGUUCCCUCUUGCAGCUAUUCUUGUCAUCAGACAGAACUGAGCUUCCCUGAGACUCAGUGGCUUGGAGCAUAAUUUAACCACAGGGGAAAGUGCAGCAGCCGGCCAGUCAUCUGUUUCAGGUUGCUGUCUGAUGGAAAGGAAAACCUGCCUUCGGGGCCAGCCAGCCACCAGGCAAGCCCAACACCCUCCUGAGGGCUAAGUGCCAGCACAGGGUUCAAAGGGGUGCUUGUGAGGGCUUGGAGAAGUCAAGACUCCUGUAAUGCCUCCUAGGAGUUCAUCCUUAAUGAACAAAAACCACCUGAAAACUAAGUGACUUGAAGCAUUCCUUUAUUUGCUCAUGAUGCUGAGGGCCAGCAGGUGGGACAGCUCAUCUCUACUUCUUGGGGUGCAGCCCGUAUUAGCUGGGACUCCCAUGGGCCACUCCCCUCCUAUGGUUUGUGGCCUGGGACCCCCUGUGGCCCCGGCUGUUGCUUGCACUGGCAUGACUCAGUCACCAGCAAGAGACACGGCCAGCAGAGCUCGGUCACAGGGCUUCUCAGCCACUGCACAGUGUUUACUAACAUCCUCUUGGCAGAAGCCAGGCAAAGGGCCCAGCCCGAGCCCGUAUCCAGGGGGGCUGUGUGUGCCCUGGAAGCCGUGGCCUCCUACGUGUCCUGCAAGGAAACAUGAGCCUCCCUCCUGUCGAAGCGGGUGGUGUGAACCUCAGCAGCAGGGUCGAGAGUGGUGCCUCCGUGACCAAGGCCUGCAUGCUGCUCCUGCUGGGUGGUCAGCCUCACGACAGCUGUAGAACCUGAGGUCACCCCUGACUGUUGUACUCUAACCUCUGCCUCCGUCGUCUCCAGAGAGGGGUUUAUGGUGGAGGUCUCCCGACCUGGGGGCAUGACACACAGAGCUUGCCGGUACACAUGGACAUGGGAGACAGCGACUUUCAGGCCCCAGGGCCAAGACGGGUGCACCAAACAGGGAGGGUCCUGCAGGUGCCUGAGAGGUCAGGUUCCUUGAAGUGGGAUCCCACAGCCCCCUGAGGAAAGCCGGUCCUUCUCCCCUUCACUCUGUGUCAGACCCAUGGCCGUCCAGGAAGGGGCCCCAGCCUCCACAGAGGUGCUGGCAGCUGUGAUCGCACAGCCUUCAGUGCAAAGAGCAGCAGCCAGAGCACCACCACCACCCAGACACCAUUCUGUUUACCUCCCUGUGCAACUGUGAAAGUGAAGGUUGUCCAAGGAAAUGCAGGUGAUGCCUAGAAAUGUGCUUGUAGGGAUCUGGCUGUCCCCUCUCUACCCCAGGAGUUGGGGGAUAGGAUCCACGUGAGUGCAUGAAGCCUCUGCUGGGAGCACUGGCUGCCUUGCUGCUUCUCACCAGCUGAACCAGACAGCCUGACCAUGCAGCAGAACAAGGACUUCUCCAGUUGCCACAUGUAGGACAGAAUGGUGCAGAAGGACUUGUCAGGGACAAAGGACAAAGACCUCGCCUGCUCUGGGGCAGGUGUGUGACUGGUUUCAGCUGGUAGCUCAGGGCUGUUUGGGAAAGCUGGAAGGAGGGGUGAGGGGCUCAGGCCAAUGGCCAGGAGCUGCUCGCUGAGCGUUCACAUCCUGACUCUCAGGACGGGUUUCCACAGAAUGCUGUGUCCCAGGUGUAGAAA
ensembl:lncRNA